rnacentral:piRNA from 2 species
UGAAAAUGGUGAUGCAUGCCAGGU